UCUCCGUAGGUGAACCUGCGGAGGGAUCAUUACUGAGUGAGGGCUCACGCCCGACCUCCAACCCUUUGUGAACCAAACUUGUUGCUUCGGGGGCGACCCUGCCGCUUCGGCGGUGCGGCGCCCCCGGAGGCCAUUAAACACUGCAUCUUUGCGUCGGAGUUUAAGUAAAUUAAACAAAACUUUCAACAACGGAUCUCUUGGUUCUGGCAUCGAUGAAGAACGCAGC
rnacentral:misc_RNA from 1 species